AGAGUUUGAUCCUGGCUCAGGACGAACGCUGGCGGCGCGCCUAACACAUGCAAGUCGAACGAGCGAGAGAGAGCUUGCUUUCUUGAGCGAGUGGCGAACGGGUGAGUAACGCGUGAGGAACCUGCCUCAAAGAGGGGGACAACAGUUGGAAACGACUGCUAAUACCGCAUAAGCCCACGACCCGGCAUCGGGUAGAGGGAAAAGGAGCAAUCCGCUUUGAGAUGGCCUCGCGUCCGAUUAGCUAGUUGGUGAGGUAAUGGCCCACCAAGGCGACGAUCGGUAGCCGGACUGAGAGGUUGAACGGCCACAUUGGGACUGAGACACGGCCCAGACUCCUACGGGAGGCAGCAGUGGGGAAUAUUGCACAAUGGGGGAAACCCUGAUGCAGCGACGCCGCGUGGAGGAAGAAGGUCUUCGGAUUGUAAACUCCUGUUGUUGAGGAAGAUAAUGACGGUACUCAACAAGGAAGUGACGGCUAACUACGUGCCAGCAGCCGCGGUAAAACGUAGGUCACAAGCGUUGUCCGGAAUUACUGGGUGUAAAGGGAGCGCAGGCGGGAAGACAAGUUGGAAGUGAAAUCCAUGGGCUCAACCCAUGAACUGCUUUCAAAACUGUUUUUCUUGAGUAGUGCAGAGGUAGGCGGAAUUCCCGGUGUAGCGGUGGAAUGCGUAGAUAUCGGGAGGAACACCAGUGGCGAAGGCGGCCUACUGGGCACCAACUGACGCUGAGGCUCGAAAGUGUGGGUAGCAAACAGGAUUAGAUACCCUGGUAGUCCACACUGUAAACGAUGAUUACUAGGUGUUGGAGGAUUGACCCCUUCAGUGCCGCAGUUAACACAAUAAGUAAUCCACCUGGGGAGUACGACCGCAAGGUUGAAACUCAAAGGAAUUGACGGGGGCCCGCACAAGCAGUGGAGUAUGUGGUUUAAUUCGACGCAACGCGAAGAACCUUACCAAGUCUUGACAUCCUGCGACGGUUCUGGAAACAGAACUUUCCUUCGGGACGCAGAGACAGGUGGUGCAUGGUUGUCGUCAGCUCGUGUCGUGAGAUGUUGGGUUAAGUC
rnacentral:rRNA from 1 species